CGGGAAGCUCCUCCUGCUAGGUCCUAGCGGGACCGGAUUCUUUUCUAGCCGUUGGUUCGCCCACGCCCCGCGCGGCGCAGCUGGCUCAGCCAACUGCUGUGGAGCGUGGAAACGCGAAUGUUUUAGCAAAAGUAACAGACUUCUCGUAAAUAAGUAGCCUGGGAAGGGUUUUUUUUUCAUUUUUUAAAAGAGCGCAUAUGGGUACAUUUGUCUAUUGUUCAAGACCAGUAUCCUGCUCUUUGGGAAUGUGACCAAAGCCGGGUCUUUAAUGUGUAGGAACACACAGACUGCUGCUGUGGUUUAGCACACUUUGCUCUUAGAAAGGUGCACGCCAGAGAAGUGGCUUGCAAUCUUGCUACAAAACAUCACCUGGAGAUUAGGGUUUGUCCAGCCUGUAUGUAGCCUCCUAGGGCUAAUUUCACACUCCACCCUAGAUGUGAGCUGUGUCUGUACACACUGAGUGUGGUUCAGCAAGCCUUCCUCCAAAAGCCAGCAUCUCUCGAGGUUAGAAAUCCCUGAUGAGCUUAAUCCAGAACACAGAGAGGACAUUCAGUCUUUGUAUUGAUUGCAACCAUGAUUCACUCCUGAUUCCAUGAUAAAUGAUUUCGUGGUCCACUACUGAGUCAUGGUCUCCAGUUUGGAACUCUGCCCUCCAUCCAUACCGUGGCCUCACCACUACUCCUCAUUUCAGGUAGCAGCAAAACUGUGAUAACCACACACCAGGCACCUGACAACAGCAGCCCCAGGAGAAAUCCACAGGGCAGCUUGGACUUGAGCAUGGACUUGGAUGACAUGAUCGAUAACUUCCUGGCUGCCAGCCCCCGUUUCAUCCUCAGUGGCCAGCACCAUACCCGUCCUGAGAAAAUCUACUAUAAGAAAAGAUCUCUGUGCGUAGGUAAAGCACAUGUAGUAUUAGCAAGUUUGGUACCUUUAUGGAAGAAGUGUAUUCAGUCAACAAACUCAUUCACUUAUCCAAUAAAU